rnacentral:rRNA from 1 species
GCGGUAAUACGAAGGGGGCUAGCGUUGCUCGGAAUCACUGGGCGUAAAGGGUGCGUAGGCGGGUUUUUAAGUCAGAGGUGAAAUCCUGGAGCUCAACUCCAGAACUGCCUUUGAUACUGAAAGUCUUGAGUAUGGGAGAGGUGAGUGGAACUGCGAGUGUAGAGGUGAAAUUCGUAGAUAUUCGCAAGAACACCAGUGGCGAAGGCGGCUCACUGGCCCAUAACUGACGCUGAGGCACGAAAGCGUGGGGAGCAAACAGGAUU